rnacentral:sRNA from 1 species
AUUCGCCAUCAUCAUGCUCAACACCAGCCUCCACAACCACAACGUGCGUGACAAGCCCACGGCAGAACGGUUCAUCGCCAUGAACCGCGGCAUCAACGAGGGCGGGGACCUCCCUGAGGAGCUGCUGAGGGUGAGCUCCCCGGCCCGCGGCCGCUGCCGUCUGCAGGAUGUCUUCGCUGUGAGCGGCCGCAGCGCCCGCGACUCUAGACACGCCUCCCAAGCCUCCUUGCCGCCCUGGUCCCGCUGAGCUUUCUGCCGGGCCAGCCGGUUUCCUCUGAGUCUCUGAACUGGCUGCUGUUUUUCCCUCCUUGCAGAAUUUGUAUGAGAGCAUUAAGAACGAGCCGUUUAAGAUCCCGGAGGACGACGGGAACGACCUGACCCACACCUUCUUCAACCCCGACCGCGAGGGCUGGCUCCUGAAGCUGGGAGGGCGUGUGAAGACCUGGAAGCGCCGGUGGUUCAUCUUGACCGAUAACUGCCUCUAUUACUUUGAAUACACAACAGAUAAGGAGCCCAGGGGAAUCAUCCCGUUGGAAAACCUCAGCAUCAGGGAGGUGGAGGACCCCCGGAAACCC